rnacentral:rRNA from 1 species
UGGGGAAUUUUGGACAAUGGGCGAAAGCCUGAUCCAGCAAUGCCGCGUGUGUGAAGAAGGCCUUCGGGUUGUAAAGCACUUUUGUCCGGAAAGAAAUCCUUGGCUCUAAUACAGUCGGGGGAUGACGGUACCGGAAGAAUAAGCACCGGCUAACUACGUGCCAGCAGCCGCGGUAAUACGUAGGGUGCAAGCGUUAAUCGGAAUUACUGGGCGUAAAGCGUGCGCAGGCGGUUUGCUAAGACCGAUGUGAAAUCCCCGGGCUCAACCUGGGAACUGCAUUGGUGACUGGCAGGCUAGAGUAUGGCAGAGGGGGGUAGAAUUCACGUGUAGCAGUGAAAUGCGUAGAGAUGUGGAGGAAUACCGAUGGCGAAGGCAGCCCCCUGGGCCAAUACUGACGCUCAUGCACGAAAGCGUGGGGAGCAAACAGGAUUAGAUACCCUGGUAGUCCACGCCCUAAACGAUGUCAACUAGUUGUUGGGGAUUCAUUUCCUUAGUAACGUAGCUAACGCGUGAAGUUGACCGCCUGGGGAGUACGGUCGCAAGAUUAAAACUCAAAUGAAUUGACGGGGUCAUAGCUG